rnacentral:rRNA from 1 species
AACGAACGCUGGCGGCAGGCCUAACACAUGCAAGUCGAGCGCGCCCUUCGGGGUGAGCGGCGGACGGGUGAGUAACGCGUGGGAACGUGCCCUUUUCUACGGAAUAGCCUCGGGAAACUGAGAGUAAUACCGUAUACGCCCUUUGGGGGAAAGAUUUAUCGGAAAAGGAUCGGCCCGCGUUGGAUUAGGUAGUUGGUGGGGUAAUGGCCUACCAAGCCGACGAUCCAUAGCUGGUUUGAGAGGAUGAUCAGCCACACUGGGACUGAGACACGGCCCAGACUCCUACGGGAGGCAGCAGUGGGGAAUCUUAGACAAUGGGGGCAACCCUGAUCUAGCCAUGCCGCGUGAGUGAUGAAGGCCCUAGGGUUGUAAAGCUCUUUCAGCUGGGAAGAUAAUGACGGUACCAGCAGAAGAAGCCCCGGCUAACUCCGUG